rnacentral:rRNA from 1 species
UACGUAGGGCGCAAGCGUUAUCCGGAAUUAUUGGGCGUAAAGAGCUCGUAGGCGGUUUGUCGCGUCUGCCGUGAAAGUCCGGGGCUCAACUCCGGAUCUGCGGUGGGUACGGGCAGACUAGAGUGAUGUAGGGGAGACUGGAAUUCCUGGUGUAGCGGUGGAAUGCGCAGAUAUCAGGAGGAACACCGAUGGCGAAGGCAGAUCUCUGGGCCGUAACUGACGCUGAGGAGCGAAAGCGUGGGGAGCGAACAGG